rnacentral:lncRNA from 1 species
UUAAAUGUCAGUUAUUGUGGGUCACAUAAAUUGUUUUGUCAAAAGGCGAACCAAAUUACCUUACACUAUUCACCAGCCGUGAUGUUUGCUGUUUGGAUUUUUCCAAAGAAAUAUUUGCAAGAUAUAUUUAGAAGUAGGGGCAAUUGCUUAUAUACCCAUGAAAAGUUCUCGAUUUUCUAAUUUACCCUUUUCAGAAGGCUAAUAUUAAAAACAUCUUUUUUACGUUCCACGUUAUUUUAAAUAUACCCCUAGAGUUAAGUAUACCCUUUUCUAUUAGUGAGCUAUUGGCAAUAGUCGUCAUCUCUGUAAAAUUACUAUUUUGCUCUUUCUAAUAUACCCUUCUACAAUCACUAAUUUUUCUUAUUUGCCCUUUAGCUAGGGGCAAAAGAAGAAAUUUGAUUUUUUUGUUUUUUCAAAUAUAUCCUUCUAUCAUCAUCAACUUUACUUAUUUGCUCUUAAGUUCAGGGCAAAAGAGAUAUUUUGAUAUUUUUUUUUAACUCUGAUAGACAUUUAACUCACGUUCAACCCGAAAUAACUUUAGGGGCGAUAAGUGUAGGGGUAAUUUUGAAUAACGGAGGAACAUAUGAGGGAUAUUGAAAGAAGGGCAAAAGAGCAUACCCUCUUGGGUUCUAUUGAUGAAACUAUAUAAUACAAGAGAUAAGUCUACUAUAGUAACAAUAUAACUAGGAUUAUAUACCAUAUAAUCCUAUAUCAUACCAUAUAUCCUACUCUAAAUAUGUUGUAUAAUAUAGCAUAAGAUACUAAAUAUAUCUUAACAUCUCCCCGCAAGCUAAGCAUCUG